rnacentral:rRNA from 1 species
UACGUAGGGUGCGAGCGUUGUCCGGAAUUAUUGGGCGUAAAGGGCUCGUAGGCGGUUUGUCGCGUCGGGAGUGAAAACCUUGGGCUUAACUCAGGGCUUGCUUUCGAUACGGGCAGGCUAGAGGCUGGUAGGGGCAAGCGGAAUUCCUGGUGUAGCGGUGAAAUGCGCAGAUAUCAGGAGGAACACCGGUGGCGAAGGCGGCUUGCUGGGCCGGUUCUGACGCUGAGGAGCGAGAGCGUGGGGAGCGAACAGG